ACUAGAUGUUGUUGUCGAGGUUCUUUCGAGUCGGACAGGCUCGGGAGCUAAGAGGGAAGCCGGUGACCCGCCAAAGGGGAGGCCGGCGCUGCCCCCGCAACUGUAAGCAGCGAGUCCGCGUCGAGUAACGCCACUGGCGCCGCAAGGCACCGGGAAGGCCGACAAAGGGCGACGACCUGCAAGCCAGGAGACCUGCCCCGACAGUUCGAAACGU
rnacentral:ncRNA from 2 species